UACGAAGGGGGGCUAGCGUUGUUCGGAAUUACUGGGCGUAAAGCGUGCGCAGGCGGUUGUGCAAGACAGAUGUGAAAUCCCCGGGCUUAACCUGGGAACUGCACUUGUGACUGCACGGCUGGAGUACGGCAGAGGGGGAUGGAAUUCCGCGUGUAGCAGUGAAAUGCGUAGAUAUGCGGAGGAACACCGAUGGCGAAGGCAGUCCCCUGGGCCUGUACUGACGCUCAUGCACGAAAGCGUGG
rnacentral:rRNA from 1 species